UACAGAGGUGUCAAGCGUUGCUCGGUAUCACUGGGCUUAAAGGGCGCGUAGGCUGUGCGGUACGGUUCGGGUGAAAUCCCUCGGCUCAACCGAGGAACUGCCCGGGCGACGGCCGCGCUGGACUGCAUCAGGGGACGAUGGAACUCCCGGUGGAGCGGUGAAAUGCGUAGAUAUCGUAAGGAAGACCAGUGGCGAAGGCGGGUCUCUGGACAGUUCCUGACGCUGAGGCACGAAGGCCAGGGGAGCAAACGGG
rnacentral:rRNA from 1 species